rnacentral:rRNA from 1 species
CGCGUAGGUGGUUUGUUAAGUUGAAUGUGAAAUCCCCGGGCUCAACCUGGGAACUGCAUCCAAAACUGGCAAGCUAGAGUAUGGUAGAGGGUAGUGGAAUUUCCUGUGUAGCGGUGAAAUGCGUAGAUAUAGGAAGGAACACCAGUGGCGAAGGCGACUACCUGGACUGAUACUGACACUGAGGUGCGAAAGCGUGGGGAGCAAACAGGAUUAGAUACCCUUGUA